CCAGUUUCCUGUUAUGGGCUAUGCUACUAAUUAGUGAAUGAAUAAAUACCAGUCAAACUCGGAUAAUUUGAGGUCUCUCUAAUUUAUAAAAAGACUGAAUUGGAAACAAGUCAGAAUAUGACAUUCUCCCUAUUUCCAUUGUUCGGUUUCAUUCCCUUGGUGGCUGUGAUGUCAUAAACCCAUUAGGACCAACAGUCACCUUGGGUUUGAGUGGGAAAACAUCCCCCUACACACCCUUCUGAACCCUCAGAAUGAAACUGCCCAAAUCAUUUCUCUUUCUACAGGAAAAAAUCCAGGCCCAAUUGAAGACUCUGAGGGAAGAGAGAGAAAAGCUCCUGAGAUUUAAAUACACUGGAGAGAGGAAAAGCCGGGGGUAUCUGAAACAGAUACAAGAGGAGAGGCAGAAAAUUGUUUCUGAAUUUCAGCAACUGAGGCAGUUCCUGGAGGAACAGGAGCGACUCCUGCUGCUCUGGCUGGAAAAGCUGGACAAGGAGAUAGUGAAGAUACGGAAUGAAAAUAUCACCAAACUCUCUGAGCAGAUUUCCAUCUCAGUGAGCUGAUCAGUGAGCUGGAGGAAGUGUCAGAAACCAGCAAGUGAAUUCCUGCAGGAUGUCAGAUGCACCUUGAGCAGGUGUAAGAAGGAGAAGUUCCAGCAGCCAGUGGACAUUUCUCCUGAACUGGAAGUGAGACUCAACUAUUUCUCUCAGAAAACUGUUGCCCUAAUGGAGAUUCUGAGGAAAUUCAAAGACACUCUGCCGUCUGCACUAGAGACAACAAAAGCGGGAUCCCUAGGAGCACACACACAGGCGAAUGUGACUCUGGAUCCAGACACGGCUCAUCCCAACCUUGUCUUGUCUGAGGAUUUGAGAAGUGUAAAGUGGGAAGAAAUACAGCAGGAUCUGCCUGACAACCCUGAGAGAUUUGACACUGAGCCCUCCGUGCUGGGCUGGGAGGGAUUCACCUUGGGGAGACAUUGC